rnacentral:lncRNA from 1 species
ACACGUCUUCAUGGCUAAUCUGAAUAUCAAUACUGCUCUCACAUUGAUUCAUGGAUUCAAUACGCCAUAAAUCACAAAGCAACUGAGCUCAAAUUGACUUCUUUAUCGAUCGUAGGUACCACAACGCUAAGGACGCUCGGAUUUCCUACGAUUUCAAGUUUCAUUUCCUAAAAGAUAGCCGUGUUAGGUUUUUUAGAUUGUGUUCCGCAGAUCUCGUCCAUCUUGUCCGUUAUCAUUCCUCACUCCAUACCCUUUUUCUUUCUCUACAGCCAUGGCUAACAGCGUCAGCUCCACCUCUGACCUCAAGUUUGCCGCCCUUUUGGAGCAGAUGAGCUCCACCUCGCCACCGACGCCGAUAAGGAUAUCAUCAACAAAAUCGGCCUCGUUUAUCAACUCAAUAUCGCCCCCAAGGUCUCUCUUUCUCUCUCUCUUUCUAUAUGUAUGUAUGUAUUAUAUGCCUAAUUUACUUAAUCCGAUUAGUUACUAAUCAUAACCCUUGGCUUUGACCUUGAUUUUUAUCAGAAAAUUUGGUACAAUGAGGAAAUUUAUGUUGUUGAUCUCAAAAAAGGAGAGGUUACCAAAGGCUAGGGUUUUUGAUCCUCCCUCUGUGUCAUCACAGCUCUACUUCUGGUUAUAGCAAAAUUUGUUGUUUUCUUAGUUAAAUAAUCAAAUUUUGUUGUGUAACUGAGUUCAAUUUCUUUUUUGCUGUGUAAUUUUAACUGUUUCCACAUGGAUCAGAAUUGAAACAAGUGUUGGGGUUAAUUAGGAACUCAAUAUAAUAUGAUGGUCUGGUCUUAACAUUUGCUGCCAUUGGUACUAGCUUAAAUUUUGAGAUGAGUUAAUUAUUUAACUUAUAUCCAUAUUUACUAUUUAAACUUUUAUAUGAGUUGGUUACUUAAUACUACUAUAUACAUGGUGGCAUUAGCCUUAGGUCUAGGUAUAAAGGGCUGUCAGAUUCUACCAAGUAAAGGCUCAAUUUUUAUCAGUAGCAUUCUUCUCCACUACUAGUUGGAUUGGAAGGCUCUAGCAUUUAAACACAAUGUAUAGCUUUUUUUUCUUUACAAUUCACAAACUACUAAUAGUUUAAUUUCUUAAAUUUUAACCGUUUCCACAUGGAUCAGAAUUGAAACAAUUUUGGAGUACGUUUAUCAUUUGGUUUGCUUGGAUUGUUAAGUGUUAUAAGGAUGAGUGAUCCUGAUCUUACAUCUUUUGCACUUGGAAUUGAUUUGACGAUACUUGGGUUGAACUUGAAUUCUUCAGAAAAUUUGCACAAAGCAUUUGGUUCCCCGUGGUCUGAUGAGCCUGCCAAGGGUGAUCCAGAGUUCAAUGUGCCUCAGUUUUAUUAUGCUAAACAACCACCUUCCCUAUAUGUGAGCUAACCUUUAUUUUCAUUUCAAGUCUUCCUUUUUUUGUUAGCCUUUGUAUUUGUUGCUCAAAUUUUUUUGGGUGGGUGCAACAAGGUUAUUUUUCAAAGUUCUAGUUGGACACAUUAUUUUACAUAUUUUACAGGUACGAGUCUUGAGGAUUUCUAUUAAAUUUUCUUAGUGAAUCUUGUUCAAUCCUGAUACAUAUUUGUAACUGAUUUUAUACAUGCAACAUGCCAAAAGACAAAGCCCAUUUAUAUGUUGUAAAUGAACUGUAUGCUCUCUCGGCCACUUGACAUUCAAAGCAUGCUUGUAUCUCCUUUUCUAUUGCUUGCAUCAUAGAUUCUUCUAUGUUUGAGUGAUCCAUGUUUCCCAAAUAAAAAUUCUAGCAUUGCCUGAGGACUUUGCAUGCCAUUAUUGUGAGGGCUACAAUAUUGCUAAUUGUAGUUCUGCGCCUGUUAUAUGCGGGUAUAACAGAGGAUGGUUCUACCACAGAGAGCAUUACUCGUGGUUAAUGCGUGUGACCAACAUGGAGCCUCUUGUGAAGACGAAUGCGUAUGAGAGAGAUUCUUAUAUAUGUUUUGACCUAAACACAUGGGAAACAAUCCGCAAGGUUAGUGGUUCCUUUGUCAUUGGUUGUUACAUUAUUCCCUCCCAUGUUGUCUCCUCAGUCCUUCGGCGGUUACAUUUUGCCCACACAUGUCAAUUUUUAUUAGAUUAUAGCUCCCCGAUUGAUUAAUCUAUUCUUCUUGCUGCAAGAAAAUUUUGUGGUCCACUAUGAUAUGUUGGAAAAAAGCUACAGAACCUUUGCUACAAAUUUUGUGCUCCCCAAAAAUUUUGAUGUUUGGGGGUGCCUCCAAAAAAUAAGAACAAGUUUUACCGACAAUGAUAGUGAUUCGGAUCAUAGUACUUUAUCAUCUGUUUCGUCAACACAAAUGUCAAAGAGAAGAAGUUGGACUCAGUCUGAACUUUUAGGUGUUAAAGAAAUGUUUGACUCUUCAAUGCUCUGACUUGCACUUUGCUAAUUGCUCUGUCAUAAUAGUCUUGUGUAAUGCUUGUCCACUUUGCUAAUUGCUCUAACCUGCACAUAAUGUUUUUCCAUGUAUAUAACUCUUAAAUGGAAUCUAGGUCUUUAGUUGUUGAAAUGUUUCUCAAGUAAAGAAAUAACAAAUCCGUGUGAUUUAAUUCCAUUUAUGUUUACUGAUUAUUGGUCUGGGUUAAUUGUAUUUUAAUUAUAUUUACUAUGUGAUUAGAUUUGAAAUGAUUCAAAUGGCUAUGUAAUUGAAAAUUGAUUUCUGAAAUUAUUGGUUCAAGUGGUGUAGAUUUUGUCAAAGUUGACCCUAGUAUAUUGUGUCAAAAUUCUGUAGAAUCAGUUUAAUAUUCCACAUCCCAUGGUGUAUAUUAAUGAUGCAGCUUCUUUUAUUAUAGUCAAAUAGUUACUUUUAUUAUAGUCAAAUAGUCACCAGUAUUUGCAAGCAUUCUUAGUGUAGUUUACAGUUGAGGUGGAACUGACUAGAAUUAUUAAUCAUGACUUGCAUUCGAAGAAGGUAAACAAAGGCUAUAUCAGUACAAUAAGGUGGUGUAGAAAGCUAGCUAUUAGAAGCAUGAACUUGUAUAUGGAACUAGUCAAUAACCCCAAAAGGGCUAGGGAAGAUGAUAAGUUGAUUUUAUACAUACUUAUCCGGUAUCUGUUACUUGAAUUAGUUGCUUAUAUUCAUGUUCUUAGUUACUUUUCAUACAUUUUAUGUUAUUUUUUAGGCUAUGACAUGACAUUGGCAUGACGAAGCAAGGAAAAGCAAUUCAGACAUCUUUUGGACUAAAAUACGCAAGCAAAUGCAAGAAGGGAAUAUUGAAGGACUUUUAACACCAAGUUGGAUGCAUGUUCUUGACUUUGAACUUGGAUUUUAUGGUAUCUCUACUUCUUAUCUUUCCGGAACAUCUUGAAUCAUCCCAAUCGGAGCUCGGAUGCGAGAGUUAUGGCCUUUUUAUCAAUGAAGAUCAAAACUAAGAGUUGUCAUGCUUGCCAUUUACAUAGAAUCUACUUCAAGAUCGAUUUAGGCCUUGAUCCGGACGGAAUCUGUCAAUCCUCAAAGAAUGAAAGUUAUAGAUCUCGUUGUUAUCUUCGAUUUGAUAGGUGGAAGACCCCGUAACUCCAAGCAGAUCAAAAGUUAUGCCUAUUUUACCAAAGGACGUUGCAGCAAAAAAUAGCGUAGCGCGGACCGCGCUAGGGACGCGCUAGGCCACCAGAUUCUCUGCCAGUAUAGCGCGGAGCGCGCCCAGAAAGGCUUAGCAGCAGUGCGGAGCGCGCUAGGUGGUGAGAGGAGAGUUAAAUUGGGUUAUUUGAUGUCCAAAUUGAGCUAGAAUAGGAUUCUUAGUUGCCUAACUUGCUAGGAUAUCCAUUAGAAUAGGAUUCUUAGUUGCCUAACUUAUUCUUUACUUUUUUUCUUAAAUUAGGAACCCUAGAUUAGAUUAGAAUUGAAGAUUGAAGCAACUUGGAGACCAUUGAAGAUCAAGAGCAGGAGCUUGAGGAAGAUGGAGAUUUGUUGACAACAGAUUUAUUCUUUACUCUACUCUUAUUCUUAUCAUUUAAUGUUAUUUCAAGUGUGGAUUCUUAGUUUUAAUUCAAUGAACUAAUUUUUUGUUUGAGAUUACAAUGAAUCUUAUUGUGUAGUUUAUUUUAAUAUGCUUCGUUAUCAAUUAUUAUGUUCUAUCAUGAAAAUUGUCUAUUGUGAUUUGGACUUAAUUGUUUAAUUGAUCGGCCAUUAAUUACCGUGAUAAUCUAUAUAAACUCGAGAGAUGAAGUUUAGAUUUAGAUCUGAUCAUGAUAGCAUAUGUUUGUGAUUUCUGCAUAGAUGGAAUUCAUAAUUCAUGUUUAGGAUAGAGAUAUGCCUUUAUGCCAUAUGUAAUCUUAUAGAGAACUUGUGCUUUAAAUCCUUCUUAAUUGUAAUUCACAUAGAGAUAUAGUGGAUUAGUUAAUUAGGGUGUCUUGCUUAAUUCUAUCAUCUGUGGAUUUAAGUGAGUAUGUGUAUUAUGCAUCGACAGGUGGUUUUAUCUGCUUUAGUGUUCUUGAUUAACAAUUUAGGAUAGAGGAUAAUUGAUGAGAAGUGUGUUAACUUAAAUGAAGUAAUAAAUGAAGUUGUGAUCUUAAAUCUCUGUAAUCUUAAUUUAACUAGUGGUAAUUAGAAUUAGUUUAAUUAUAAAUUGAAAUUCAUUCGUUUAAAUAAGAUUGAGUUGAUUACGAGUUAGUACUUGGUGAUUUUUAUUAAAUAAUUCUCUAUGGGAACGAUACUCAACUUAUCACUUUAUUACUUGUUGACCACGUAUACUUACGUGUUGUGCGUAAUUAGAUUUUACCCAACAAGUUUUUCGCUCUAUUGUCGGGGAAUUAGUUUAAUAUUUUUUUACCAAUAUUUAUUUCAAUCAAAUUAGUCUUAAUUUAAACAUUUUUAUUUUUAUUUUUAAUUCUCUUCCUAUAUUUCUCUCUUUUCAGGUACCAUGGAUGACUUUGCGUAUCAAUGGCCAUACACGAACAUGACUCAACCAAGGGAAACAUGGAUUGAUGAACUUAAUGCAUUUUCCACAGAGUCAGUACAAAUUGAGGCAAAUUCGAAGACGUUGGAGGUUAUCGCAGCCCAACAGAGGCGAAGGAUGGCAGUUACGUGUGACUAUUGUGCUGGUAACCAUCAAAGUCAUCAAUGCACCGUCAAUUUUGAAC